rnacentral:sRNA from 1 species
AUUUUUUGCAAGUCAAACCUCCAAAUCAAAUAAAGGCAUGUCAAUACCACGAAAUCAAAAGUCACCCGCAAUAUAUCCUUUCAAUGUAGUUAUGAUGUCCUCGAUUUCAUCAUCUUGCGCUAUUAUCAUGAAUCCCAAAUUUUGUCCACCAAUUGUUCUCAUUUAAGGGUUUCGAAUUUUAUUUAGAUUUUUCACCAUCUAUUUUGGUCCACAGAUUAGUUGAGUGUUGUUGUCUUCACCUACACGUUUUCAAUUGCAUAUAAUAAAUUUAAAUAAUAUGUUAUAUGGGGACAAGUUCAGAUUGAAUGAGUAAUAGAAUUAGAUCAGGAUAAAUUCAGAUCGAAUGUUGAACAAGAUAAUAUGUUAUAACUGGAUAUUUUGUUAUUUUGGAAUAGAAUGAGAAAAAAUUUAAUAAUCUAGGUCGGUGAAGACAAUAAUGGUCAACUAAUCUGUGGACCAAAAUAGAUGGUAAAAAAUAUAAAUAAAAUCUGAAACCCUUAAAUGAGAAUAAUUGGUGGACAAUAUGUGGGAUUUAUGAUAGUAGAGCAAGAUGAUGAAAUCGGGGACAAGAUCUACACGCAAUAGAUGAAUUUCCAAUCGGGGACAAGAUAUGGAGACAAAAACGAAAGUUAAUUGUUUAAUCUCAAGAGAUAUAAUGUUUCUUGGUUAAAGCACACAUAUUUCGAGGGAAGAGAGAUAAAUAAAGAGGGAAAAUAAAUAGGGAUGAAAUAUAAAUAUAGAAGAGAUAAAUAGGCAAGAUAAAUAAGAAAGGCAAAUUGGUAAUUUCAAAGACUAAAUGUGGUAGGAGUUGAAAGGAAAUUGUAAAUGUGGUAGAUUUUGAAAGAAAUUGGGGAAAUUUGGUAUUUGUUGUAGUUUUCUCUUUUUUUU